rnacentral:tRNA from 1 species
GGUUUAAUAGUCAAAAUUAUGAUAUAAAAUUGCAAGUUUUAAGUUAAGUUAUUUUUAAGCUU